ACAAUGGGCGCAAGCCUGAUCCAGCCAUGCCGCGUGGAUGAUGAAGGCCUUAGGGUUGUAAAAUCCUUUCGUCGGGGACGAUAAUGACGGUACCCGAAGAAGAAGCUCCGGCUAACUUCGUGCCAGCAGCCGCGGUAAUACGAGGGGGGCUAGCGUUGUUCGGAUUUACUGGGCGUAAAGCGCGUGUAGGCGGGUCGCUAAGUUGGGGGUGAAAUCCCGAGGCUCAACCUCGGAACUGCCUUCAAAACUGGCGACCUGGAGCAAAGAAGAGGCGAGUGGAAUUGCGAGUGUAGAGGUGAAAUUCGUAGAUAUUCGCA
rnacentral:rRNA from 1 species